AGAAGGGUAAGUUAAUUUUAAACUUUAUGACUCAUGCUCAUAGUAUACAGUAAUGUCCCUUCGU
rnacentral:tRNA from 1 species